rnacentral:rRNA from 1 species
GAUUCUGGCUCAGGAUGAACGCUGGCGGCGUGCUUAACACAUGCAAGUCGAACGAAGCAAUUAUCACGAUCCCUUCGGGGUGACGAUUAUGACUGAGUGGCGGACGGGUGAGUAACGCGUGGGUAACCUACCUUGUACAGGGGGAUAACAGUUGGAAACGACUGCUAAUACCGCAUAAGCGCACAGCUUCGCAUGAAGCAGUGUGAAAAGUUUUUCGGUAUAAGAUGGACCCGCGUCUGAUUAGCUAGUUGGUGAGGUAACGGCCCACCAAGGCGACGAUCAGUAGCCGACCUGAGAGGGUGACCGGCCACAUUGGGACUGAGACACGGCCCAAACUCCUACGGGAGGCAGCAGUGGGGAAUAUUGCACAAUGGGCGAAAGCCUGAUGCAGCGAACCGCCGCGUGAGCGAAGAAGUAUUUCGGUAUGUAAAGCUCUAUCAGCAGGGAAGAUAAUGACGGUACCUGACUAAGAAGCACCGGCUAAAUACGUGCCAGCAGCAGC